rnacentral:lncRNA from 1 species
CUGGAUUGGCUGCCUGGGACCACACAGAAGAGUCGAGAAAGGCCCCUUCCCAUAAACAUCUCUGCCCUGGGCAAUAAGCCUCCUGAUGGGGAGGUUGAUGGAAUAGCAGGAUUAGAGCAGCCAGCCAAGCCUUCUCUGGUCCUGGUGCCAGAGAAAUGGGGGGCUACCCCUCUAUCUUGUCUGCAGUGGCCCUCUCACUUGUGGAAACACAUCUCCAAGGUAGGACAAGUUGGCUGUGGAUGGGCAGACCUUUAUGGCCUCCCAGUAGGCCUGACUCCCACACAAGUUUCCUUUUCAAAGUUCUGUAGCUUAGGAGAAAGGCCCUUGGAGUGAGGGGACUUGAGCUCCAGGCCAGAUGCUACCACCCACCUAGCAGCCCAGCCCGAGAGCCAGGGAAGAGCAAAAAGGCCAUUUUGUCUCAAAUAUUGAGUAGACCAAGGGGAAUCAGCAUGAAUUAAGCCUGGAGAGGUGGCCAACAUCAAGCCAUGCUGUGAAAUGCCAAGAAGAGACUGUUUUAUUUUGUCACCAGCCCACUGAAGAUCGAGGAGGAGCAAAACGAUGUAUUUGAGGACAUCUGCUCAUCUGAAUGAGCUCAGUCUCUCACUUGAGAGAUGAUGGAACCGAAUCCCAGAAACAGGAAGGGCUUUGUCCACAGUUACUCAGUGAGCAAGGGAGGAGGGAAUCCUAGCUUCUGCUCCAGGAGCACCAUCUGUCCCUCUGACACAACGAUGGAUUUCCUGGGACCACAAUGCCAUUGGCAGAUGUGUGCUACCUCCCAGAAAGUGGUGUGUGAGGAAGAGCAUCAAAGAAAGGCAGGCAUUUGAAAUCUCCAGGGAGGUCCUGUUUACCAGCUCAGGCCAACUGAAGAGUGUCCUAUAUUAUGUCAUCCAGAAAAUGUUGUCAUUGUGAACUUGUCUCCUCCCAUCCUUGGGAUCUGCCAUGGAAACUUCACCCCCAAAGGAUCUGAGGCUUCUGAGCAAAGCUUUGAAUCUUGGGUGUAUUUGGAGAAGGAUGGUAGGGAUUGCAAAUAAAUGAUGUAAUGAUUUCAGCACUGAGAGUAUUGUUUUCUUGCUGCAUCUAAAG